rnacentral:hammerhead_ribozyme from 1 species
GUACUGAUGAAGAGUCCCAAAAUAGGACGAAACAGCUAUCCAGUAC